GUUAUGACAAGGGAAAAGAGAGUGGAGCCAUUCACUUGUGGCACUACUAAUGACCCAAGCAUUGUUGUUUGCAUAAAUACAAUCUUUGUGUGCUAACUAAACCUGAGCAAUACAGCUGUGAAUGCUGCUUUCUUUCAGUUUUCCCUAAAUCUCCACAUGACUUGUGCACGAUAAUAAAUAAACCUCUCCUGUUAACAUAUUGUUUGUUUCAUAGGUACACCUUUCUUUCAAGCUACAUCAUGCUCAGCCAUGAAACGUGAAUCAUGUAGUGAGCCAUUGUCUUAAAUACUUCCUUUCUUGAUGGAUUAUCUUUUCUCCCUUCAGGAAACUGGACUUCUGCAAAUUACAUUGUGGAAUAGCACAAAAUGCACUGACGUCAGGCCUUUGGAUGCCGCUACAGACUGGCCUUAGCUGGAAUGAGUUUGGCUGUCUCAGCUCAUUUCAUAGGGACACAGAGGUGCACACCACAGAGUGUGCACUUUGGGGUUACUGCCAGUCUCUUCCAGAAGAUGCCCAAAAAUGAAUCAGUGAAGGGACUGUGUUACUUCUCAUGGCAUCUGCAGGUACAGGGUGUACCCAAGAUCUUCCCAAGAUCUCUUCUUUCUUUCAGGCUUUCUGACUUUUAUGGGCCUUAAAAAUUGAAUGAUAUUUAACUGGAUGUGUGGGAGAUGAAACCACUGCAAGCGAGUUAUCUGUGCAGCCCUGCUAGCAGCAGCACGCCCGGUCCGUUCCAUGAGCUCAGCCCUGCAGCCACACUGCUCACCCGCUGCUCCCGGCUUGGAGCUGGGCUUCUCCAUCCGACCUGGGGGCUGCCCACCUUUCUGUCUUCAAAAUAGAAAAAUAGUAUGAUAGCAAACAAUAUCUUUCUGCACCCUUUUUUUUCCCUUUUCAUCUUCUCUACCUCUCAUUUACUGUAAAUCCUGCAGAAGGUGCAAACUGUUGGCACUCACAUCCAUGACAAAAGGAAGAAUGGUGAUAUCUGGCAUCAGGCAGAAGACUUUUCCAUUUGCUAUUUUCCUAUGGCUGGUCUAAUUUUGCUUAUUUAACCAGAAAAUGACCUCCAAAUGGAGACAUAUAGAACCUUCUUAUCAUAAAUAUCCUUUUCAGGAGGUCUCUAAUCACGUUUCUCUGUACUCUGCAGACAGGAAAAUGUGGUCAAAUGCUCAUUUAUUGCUCCAGUUUUUAUAAUGUGAAAAUAGGGAAAUAUUUUUAUACCUUAGUAACAUACUGUAAUGGCUUCCAAACAUGAGCAUAAAAUUGGGGUAAAAUUAAUCUCAGUCUAUAAAACUAACUGAUCUGUAUUUGUGUGUAUACUUAUGUACAGAACAUAAGACAUAUGUAAACACAAGCUCACUAUUCAGAGCAGAUUAUAUACAUACUGAACAUGAUUACAUAGACUUGAAUACUGAUACAUAUGGGAAAUGCAUAUUUAAAAGAAUUUCAGUGCAUUUAGGUAUUAUUUCUUGUACAAAAUCAAGAUUUCCUUCAUUCUUAUAUCAGUGUUUUGCAUGUGAGAUACUGUUUUCUAAAUCUGUUUUUAUAGUUAGCCAAAUUCAAAGCUGAUUCUGAGGGUUUUGAAGCAAAU
ensembl:lncRNA